rnacentral:rRNA from 1 species
CACGUAGGGUGCGAGCGUUGUCCGGAAUUAUUGGGCGUAAAGAGCUCGUAGGCGGUGUGUCGCGUCGGCCGUGAAAAACCUGCAGCUUAACUGUGGGCUUGCGGUCGAUACGGGCAUCACUGGAGUUCGGCAGGGGGAGACUGGAAUUCCUGGUGUAGCGGUGAAAUGCGCAGAUAUCAGGAGGAACACCGGUGGCGAAGGCGGGUCUCUGGGCCGAUACUGACGCUGAGGCGCGAAAGCUAGGGGAGCAAACGGG